UGGGGAAUUUUGGACAAUGGGCGAAAGCCUGAUCCAGCAAUGCCGCGUGUGUGAAGAAGGCCUUCGGGUUGUAAAGCACUUUUGUCCGGAAAGAAAUCCUUGGCUCUAAUACAGUCGGGGGAUGACGGUACCGGAAGAAUAAGCACCGGCUAACUACGUGCCAGCAGCCGCGGUAAUACGUAGGGUGCAAGCGUUAAUCGGAAUUACUGGGCGUAAAGCGUGCGCAGGCGGUUUGCUAAGACCGAUGUGAAAUCCCCGGGCUCAACCUGGGAACUGCAUUGGUGACUGGCAGGCUAGAGUAUGGCAGAGGGGGGUAGAAUUCCACGUGUAGCAGUGAAAUGCGUAGAGAUGUGGAGGAAUACCGAUGGCGAAGGCAGCCCCCUGGGCCAAUACUGACGCUCAUGCACGAAAGCGUGGGGAGCAAACAGGAUUAGAUACCCUGGUAGUCCACGCCCUAAACGAUGUCAACUAGUUGUUGGGGAUUCAUUUCCUUAGUAACGUAGCUAACGCGUGAAGUUGGCCGCCUGGGGAGUACGGUCGCAAGAUUAAAACUUAAAUGAAUUGACGGGGUCAUAGCUGUUUCCU
rnacentral:rRNA from 1 species